rnacentral:lncRNA from 1 species
GGCCCUUCCAGAGAUGCUGAGAGAGCGUCACUGCCUCUUAGCAACUCGCCUAGCAACUCGCCAACAUCUUCUCCCUCUGGACCAAUCCGGGAAGGAAGGGAACAUCUGGGCACCCGCCUCCCUGCUUUCUGAAGGGAGGGAGCCGAUGAUCUCGCCAGUGAACUGUGGAAGGAGACUGGGAGAGCUAGGUUGGCGGUGGCAGCCACCAGAGCCUUGCUCAGGGCAGCAAGAAGAGGGCGGUCCUGCAACCAGCUGCUCUUUGGCAUGUGCGCUUCAGGGAUUGCUAGGAAGGUGUUUGUUCAGCAGAAGUGUGUGA